GCAUGUGAGGAUGGGCCUUUCACCUUCUACCAUGGUUAUGAGGCCUCCCCAGCCACAUGGAACUGUGAGUCCAUUAAACCUCUUUUUCUUAUAAAUUACCCAGUCUCAGGUAUGUCUUUAUCAGAAGCAUGAAAACAGACUAAUACAGAAUAUAGUUCUGAAUUUUCUAUCCUAGUGAAAAGUUGAGUGAGGAUGGUAAAACUUAGUUUCAAAAGUGCUCCCAGAAGAAAACAGACUGCCUGGCCCAGUGGCGUUUUAGUGGGAUGGUUUGUCUGUCUCUUCCUCCUGUGUAUGCUUUUAUUGGAGUUCAUGAAAGAAUCAUAGAAUCCUAGGUCUGAAAAGGAACUUAGAGCUCAUCUACUCUAACACCCUUAGGAAACUAAAGCCUGUGGAGUCAAAUAGCCUCUAGUUAGUGACACAGCUGAGACUGGAACUGUGUCUUUUGACUCGAAGCUAACAUUCUCUAUGCCACACCAAGCUAACAUGCUUUUUAAGCAUUGGGAAACUGCUGAUGUGCUCUGUGUAUCUAUAUUACAGCUGAAAGGCCUUAUUUCCAUAAUCCAAAAAGAGGUAAUGAAAUACCUGUCUUGCUUGAAUUCUCUGAAGGAAAUUUAGAGAGGCUGCUCGGUGUUAUGGAAAAUAUACUGGAUUGGAUCCAUGAAAUUAAGGUUCUAGACUGAUCGCUAUGAGUAAUUUUAUGGGUAUCUUCCAACUUCAGCCCUCUGGAUCUCAGUUUUCUAGCUAAAAGAAAGGGUAGUGAACAACAAUCAGGUAUAGCAAACUCAAGUGCCUGGUAGAAUCAGGAAGGUAACAAAUAUGUGUAAAGCAGGCCAAAUACAAGACCAUAAGCAGGGGUGAGCAGCUGGAGAGUUCAGGUCCCUUUUAAAGGCUUUCAAAUUCAAAUUUAAAAUUUAAAAUGGUGUGGACCCCAGAAGACAGUUCUGUGAGUCAAAUGUAGCCCACAGUCAGAUAGUAUAAUACGUCUGAACUAGAUGCUUAGGCCCCUUUCUUCUACAAUUUCUUGAAUAUGAAAACAAAAUAUGUGGUUACCAGAAGUCAGUGUUUUCACUAGAGUCUAAUAUAUUAUGAUUGCUUUCAAGUAACUCAUUUGUUUUAACAUUUCUUUGAUCUAGAAAUACCUAAUCAUUUUCCUCUGUCUUGCUGUGCAGCUUUCAAUAGUUUGCCUGGUUUCUCUGUGCCGCAGUUUGUCAUUAGCUAAAUGAAAAAUAAAAUCGCUGACCAUUCUCAUACGACAAGCCAACAUGUGACAUGAAUGCAUCCUGGCUACCACUAGCAACUGAGCUGGCCAAGUGGGUCUCAACUGCUCAGCAGGAUCCUCCAUCUUCCCCAGCCUGGACCCACAUCUCUGCUGGUCACCAUGGAAACCAGCCCCUCAGCCCUCAGUGCCCUGUGAGUACUCAGCAGUCCCCUGUGACACUGGAAGGACCUCCCUUCCUCUGCAGUACGUUCCAUCAGCAGAUACCAAAGGAGGACUCAUUGGGCCCUGAUGUAUCUCUCGGUUUACAAAUAGGUGGUUUUCUCCCCCUGCCACAAUAGCCAGACAGAAUAGGUUUGAGUACAGCCACCACCCUGUACCUGGAAUCUACUCCUCUCUGAACCUCAAAAAUUCAUCUUCUAGUCAAGCCAGACUCUGGCUUCCAUGUGGUAAGUUAUCUCUCAACUUUCUUCCCUGCCUCGACAAAAACCCUCUUGAGAUUCCUUUACACAGCCAUAAACACAUCUAAUCCACCAAACAGGUCUGAACCUGUCUUAGUCCUUUCUGUCCAGCUAUAACAGAAUACCACAGAUCGGUUAAUUUAUAAAGAAAAUCCAUUUAUUUCUCACAUUUCUAGGGGCUGAGAAGUCCAAGAGCAUGGUGCCAGCAUCUGGCAAGGGCAAUCCCAUGGAAGAAAGGUGGAAUGCAGAAGUGAGCAUGUGGGAUAGAAAGACAGGAAAUCAGGCUGAACUCAUCCUUUUUAUCAGGGGCUCACUCCUGAGGUGAUUAGCCCACUCCCAGGAUAAUGACCUUCAUCCAUUCAUAAGGGUGGGGCCUUAUGACUUAAUCAAAUCAUAAAGGCACCAUUUCUCAAUACUGUCAAUUGGCCACUAAAUUUCCACAUGAAUUUUUAGGGGACAGUCAAAUCAACUGUUGUAACCACUGAAGUGUUUGGAGGCUCUUAAUCUUCAGGAAGUGUAAUAAAACUAGCUGUGGAAAAUGAUGAGGAAAGGAGAGAAAUGUUUUUUUGUUUGGUUCGUAUACAUAUAAAUAUUACCUAACAAACAUUUAUACCCCAAUUACCAUUGGCCCUGAUCUAAGUCUUUUAUAUAUAUUAACACAUGCAAUCCUAAAACAGUUCCAUCAGAUAAUUAAUUAGGCCCAC
rnacentral:lncRNA from 1 species